GACAGAGGGUGCAAACGUUGUUCGGAAUUACUGGGCGUAAAGCGCGUGUAGGCGGCCAUCUAAGUCGGGCGUGAAAUCCCACGGCUCAACCGUGGAAGUGCACUCGAAACUGGAUGGCUAGAGUCCUGGAGAGGAAGGUGGAAUGCUUGGUGUAGAGGUGAAAAUUCGUAGAUAUCUGGAGGAAUACCGGUGGCGAAGGCGGCAUCCUGGACCGAGAUUGACACUAAAGCGCGAAAGCCAGGGGAGCAAACGGG
rnacentral:rRNA from 1 species